GGGGGGGGGGGGGGGGGGGGCGGAGGGGUGCAGGGCGGGGGGACGGGCGGGGGGGUUGGGCCUCUGGCGCUGGCGGCGGACGGGGGAGUAACACGCGGGUAACCGACCUCUAAGAGUUGGGUAACUUCGGGGAAGCGGAGCCAAUACCGGCUAAUAUAUUGAACCGGAUGGAUCAAUAGUGCAAGACGGCUUUGGCGUCGCUUAUAGAUGGUUCCGCGCCGCAUUAGCUAGUUGGUAAGGUAACGGCUUACCAAGGCAACGAUGCGUAGCCGACCUGAGAGGGUGAUCGGCCACACUGGAACUGAGACACGGUCCAGACUCCUACGGGAGGCAGCAGUAGGGAAUCUUCCGCAAUGGGCGAAAGCCUGACGGAGCAACGCCGCGUGAGUGAUGAAGGUCUUCGGAUCGUAAAACUCUGUUAUUAGGGAAGAACAAAUGUGUAAGUAACUAUGCACGUCUUGACGGUACCUAAUCAGAAAGCCACGGCUAACUACGUG
rnacentral:rRNA from 1 species